AUGAAUCGUAGUCUAUCCAUUGUGUUCUGGAAUGUGCGCGGGCUUAAUAGCCGCGCCAAACAUACGGUCGUGCGCUCCGUUGUUUCCUCGGCCGACCCCUGUAUUGUGUGUUUAUCUGAAACAAAGCUGAAUUCAGUCUCGUCGCUUUCUGUCGUGGAGAAGCUUGGCUCCCCCUUCGCCCACUUCUACUUCCUUCCGGUCGCGGGCACUUCUGGUGGAAUCCUUCUGGCC
rnacentral:rRNA from 1 species